CUCAGUAACACGUGGAUAACUUGCCCUCAGGUAGGGGAUAAUCUCGGGAAACUGAGGAUAAUACCCUAUAAACAUCCUUUGCUGGAAUGCUUGGAUGUUCAAAGGCAACGCCUGAGGAUAGGUCUGCGGCCUAUCAGGUUGUAGUGGGUGUAACGGACCCACUAGCCAGCGACGGGUACGGGCCUUGAAAGAGGUAGCCCGGAGAUGGACUCUGAGACACGAGUCCAGGCCCUACGGGGCGCAGCAGGCGCGAAAACUUCGCAAUGCGGGAAACCGUGACGAGGGAAUUCCGAGUGCUCAUACAAUGUAUGGGCUUUUCUGAUGUGUAAAAAGCAUUAGGAAUAAGGGCUGGGUAAGACCGGUGCCAGCCGCCGCGGUAAUACCGGCAGCUCGAGUGGUAGCCACUUUUAUUGGGCCUAAAGCGUCCGUAGCCGGUCAGGUAAAUCCUUGGGUAAAUCGUGCAGCUUAACUGUGCGGCUUCCGGGGAGACUGCCUGACUUGGGACCGGGAGAGGUUGGAGGUACUCCUGGGGUAGGGGUGAAAUCCUGUAAUCCUAGGUGGACCACCGGUGGCGAAGGCGUCCAACCAGAACGGCUCCGACGGUGAGGGACGAAGGCUAGGGGCGCAAACCGGAUUAGAUACCCGGGUAGUCCUAGCUGUAAACGCUGCAGACUUGGUGUUGGAGAUCCUACGAGGGUGUCCAGUGCCGGAGAGAAGUUGUUAAGUUUGCCGCCUGGGAAGUAUGGCCGCAAGGCUGAAACUGAAG
rnacentral:rRNA from 1 species